GUUUCAAGUUUGUUGAAAUUAUGGCUCCUGUCUUUUCUCGAAAAGCUUGGCGGUGUGUAUGGCACAUGAUUCAGGUAUAUUGAGAUGAUUUCUUUGGAGCAAUUCUUGACAACAUUUGUAGUUGAGGCCUUUAGAAUGGAAGAAUGUAUUUCACUAAUUUUUGUGUACAUUUCUUGUUUUGUAUUUAGUGAUAAAGGAAUCUAAAUUGGGCAUAAAUUAUGUUGUAAUAUGAUUUCUUAAGCCUAGACUAGUAGACUAAA